CGCCUGCACGCAAACUCACUCCUUUUAUAUUAUGGCCCUCCAUUCAUGAGCUCUUGAACUCUGCAGUUUGCUUCACUUCUUGGUUAAUUGGACUGGAUCUUCAAAUAAUUUUAUCAGAGCUGACGCCACAGUAUCUGACAUGAUUAACUACGGAGCCUGCUCGGCCGCUUGAUUAACUGCGAAGUCCACUCGCCCUCCGGAACCGCAAGGACUCCUUUCCCGCUGUCACCGCGGGACGCAGCCCGGGCGUUUGUGCUCGCAUCAGCGGUCCCUAAUCAACUGACAGAGGCUGAAUGAACCCGCACCAACGGCUACAUAAGACCCUUCCAGGCCUCCCAUCCGUGGGCUUUCCUAGCCUGUGACAGGCUGCUUGCCUGCAGAGUCCUACACUCUCUUCCGCGAUCCUGGUGUAGGGAACAGCCCACACAGCA